UUCCACAGCCAUACCAGCCUGAAAACACCCUAUCUUGGAAGCUAAGCAGGGUUGGGCCUGGUCAGUACCUGGAUAGGAGACCUCCUUGGAAUGCUGGGUGCUGUAAGCA
rnacentral:rRNA from 1 species